GCAAGUUCGAACGGGAGCUUCGGCUCCAGUGGCGGACGGGUGAGUAACGCGUGAGAAUCUACCUUCAGGAUGGGGACAACCGUUGGAAACGACGGCUAAUUCCCAAUGUGCCGAGAGGUGAAAGGUUUCGACCGCCUGAAGAGGAGCUCGCGUCCGAUUAGUUUGUUGGUGGGGUAAGAGCUCACCAAGGCAGCGAUCGGUAGCUGGUCUGAGAGGAUGAGCAGCCACACUGGGACUGAGACACGGCCCAGACUCCUACGGGAGGCAGCAGUGGGGAAUUUUCCGCAAUGGGCGAAAGCCUGACGGAGCAACGCCGCGUGUGGGAAGAAGGCUCUUGGGCUGUCAACCACUUUUCUCAGGGAAGAAGUUCUGACGGUACCUGAGGAAUCAGCCUCGGCUAACUCCGUGCCAGCAGCCGCGGUAAUACGGAGGAGGCAAGCGUUAUCCGGAAUUAUUGGGCGUAAAGCGUCCGCAGGGGGCUCAUCAAGUCUGCUGUUAAAGGUCGGAGCUUAACUCCGAUACAGCAGUGGAAACUGAUGGGCUAGAGGGCGACAGGGGUAGAGGGAAUUCCCAGUGUAGCGGUGAAAUGCGUAGAGAUUGGGAAGAACACCGGUGGCGAAAGCGCUCUACUGGGUCGCACCUGACCCUCAGGGACGAAAGCUAAGGGAGCGAAAGGGAUUAGAUACCCCUGUAGUCUUAGCUGUAAACGAUGGAUACUAGGCGUGGUUUGUAUCGACC
rnacentral:rRNA from 1 species